rnacentral:rRNA from 1 species
ACGCUGAAAGCAUCUAAGUGUGAAGCCCACCUCAAGAUGAGAUUUCCCAUGAUUUUAUAUCAGUAAGAGCCCUGAGAGAUGAUCAGGUAGAUAGGUUAGAAGUGGAAGUGUGGUGACACAUGUAGCGGACUAAUACUAAUAGCUCGAGGACUUAUCCA